UGAUCUUCAAGUGUAAGAUAC
rnacentral:siRNA from 1 species